rnacentral:rRNA from 1 species
CUUGUUCAGAUUUGAUUUUCAACAUUGCAAGUGAGUGGCGAACGGGUGAGUAACACGUGGGAAACCUACCUCUUUAGCAGGGGAUAACAUUUGGAAACAAAUGCUAAUACCGUAUAAUAAUUAAAACCGCAUGGUUUUAGUUUAAAGAUGGUCUUGCUAUCACUAAGAGAUGGUCCCGCGGUGUAUUAGUUAGUUGGUGAGGUAAUGGCUCACCAAGACAAUGAUACAUAGCCGAGUUGAGAGACUGACCGGCCACAAUGGGACUGAGACACGGCCCAUACUCCUACGGGAGGCAGCAGUAGGGAAUCUUCCACAAUGGACGAAAGUCUGAUGGAGCAACGCCGCGUGUGUGAUGAAGGGUUUCGGCUCGUAAAACACUGUUGUAAGAGAAGAAUGACAUUGAGAGUAACUGUUCAAUGUGUGACGGUAUCUUACCAGAAAGGAACGGCUAAAUACGUG